CUACGGGAGGCUGCAGUGGGGAAUAUUGCACAAUGGGCGCAAGCCCGAUGCAGCCAUGCCGCGUGUAUGAAGAAGGCCUUCGGGUUGUAAAGUACUUUCAGCGGGGAGGAAGGGAGUAAAGUUAAUACCUUUGCUCAUUGACGUUACCCGCAGAAGAAGCACCGGCUAACUCCGUGCCAGCAGCCGCGGUAAUACGGAGGGUGCAAGCGUUAAUCGGAAUUACUGGGCGUAAAGCGCACGCAGGCGGUUUGUUAAGUCAGAUGUGAAAUCCCCGGGCUCAACCUGGGAACUGCAUCUGAUACUGGCAAGCUUGAGUCUCGUAGAGGGGGGUAGAAUUCCAGGUGUAGCGGUGAAAUGCGUAGAGAUCUGGAGGAAUACCGGUGGCGAAGGCGGCCCCCUGGACGAAGACUGACGCUCGGGUGCGAAAGCGUGGGGAGCAAACAGGAUUAGAUACCCGAGUAGUC
rnacentral:rRNA from 1 species